AUGACUUUGAUCUCCGUCCUCAUCUGGACUCUCCUCUGCUUCACUCAGGGGUCUGUUGGACAAAAUGUUGUCUUGACUCAACCAGCAGCCAAAUCACUGCAGCUUGGUCAAACUGUCUCUAUUGACUGUAAAGCUAAUAGACAAGUUGCUCUCUGGACUGGUUCAAAAUACUGGCUGUCCUGGUACCAUCAGAAAACUGGAGAAACUCCUAAACUCCUGAUCUAUGCAACAUCAGACAGAGUUACAGGAAUCUCCUCCAGAUUCAGUGGAAGUGGAGCAGGGAAUGGAGUUGACUUCACUCUGACCAUCAGUGGAGUUCAGGCUGAAGAUUCAGGAGUUUAUUACUGUCAGAGUUAUCACUCUAUCAACAGUCAGCUUGUGUUCACACAGUGAA